ensembl:miRNA Gm54853 predicted gene, 24804
CCCCGGGGUGUCGCCCCGUAGGACGCGGCGGCCGUGGCGGUGGCGGCGGCGGCUGCGGGGGCUGCGGCGCCAGAGGAGGCGCGCC